CAGGAUGAACGCUGGCGGCGUGCCUAAUACAUGCAAGUAGAACGCUGAAGCUUGGUGCUUGCACCGAGCGGAUGAGUUGCGAACGGGUGAGUAACGCGUAGGUAACCUGCCUGGUAGCGGGGGAUAACGUAUUGGAAACGAUAGCUAAUACCGCAUAACAGUCGACAUUGCAUGGAUGGUU
rnacentral:rRNA from 1 species